rnacentral:rRNA from 1 species
AUGGACGCUGGCGGCGUGCCUAAUACCUGCAAGUCGGGCGAACGGACGAGAAGCUUGCUUCUCUGAUGUUAGCGGCGGACGGGUGAGUAACACGUGGAUAACCUACCUAUAAGACUGGGAUAACUUCGGGAAACCGUAGCUAAUACCGGAUAAUAUUUUGAACCGCAUGGUUCAAAAGUGAAAGACGGUCUUGCUGUCACUUAUAGAUGGAUCCGCGCUGCAUUAGCUAGUUGGUAAGGUAACGGCUUACCAAGGCAACGAUGCAUAGCCGACCUGAGAGGGUGAUCGGCCACACUGGAACUGAGACACGGUCCAGACUCCUACGGGAGGCAGCAGUAGGGAAUCUUCCGCAAUGGGCGAAAGCCUGACGGAGCAACGCCGCGUGAGUGAUGAAGGUCUUCGGAUCGUAAAACUCUGUUAUUAGGGAAGAACAUAUGUGUAAGUAACUGUGCACAUCUUGACGGUACCUAAUCAGAAAGCCACGGCUAACUACGUG